GGGAGAGAGAGAGAGAGGGAGAGAGAGAAUCUCAAGCAGCCUUUGUGCUCUAAGUGCAGAGCCCAACGUGGGGCUCAGUCUCACGAACCUCAAGAUCAUGACCUGAGUUAAUCGAAUGAGCCACCCAGAUGCCCCAAUCUUCUCCUCAUCCUCCUCCUCCCCCUCCUCCCCCUUCUCCCCUUCCCCUCUGCCUCCUCCCCCUCUUGCCCCUCCUCCUCCCCCUCCUCCCCUUCCCCUCUCCCUCCCCCUCUUCCCCUCCUCCUCCCCCUCCUCCCCUUCCCCUCUCCCUCCUCACCCUCUUCCCCCUCCUCCUCCCACUCCUCCCCUUCUCCUCUCUCUCCUCCCCCUCCCCUUCCUCCUCCCCCUCCCCCUCCUCCUCCCCUUCCCCUCUCCCUCCUCCCCCUCCCCUCUCCCUCCUCCCCCUCCUCCUCCCCCUCCUCUUCUCCCUCCUCCCCCUCCUCCUCCCCCUCCUCUUCUCCCUCCUCCCCUUCCCCUCUCCCUCCUCCCCCUCCUCCCCCUCUUCCCCUCCUCCUCCCACUCCUCCCCUUCCCCUCUCCCUCCUCCUCCUCCCCCUCUCCCCUCCCCUCUCCCUCCUCCCCUUCCCCUCUCCUCCCCCUUCUCCUCUCCCCCUCCUCCCCCUCCUCCCCCUCUUCCCCUCCUCCCCCUCCUCCCCCUCCUCCCCCUCCUCCCCUUCCCCUCUCCCUCCUCCCCUUCCCCUCUCCCCUCCUCCCCCUCUUCCCCUCCUCCUCCCACUCCUCCCCUUCCCCUCUCCCUCCUCCCCCUUCUCCCUCCUCCCCCUCCUCCUCCCCUUCCCCUCUCCCUCCUCCUCCUCCCCCUUCUCCCUCCUCCCCCUCCUCCCCUUCCCCUCUCCCUCCUCCCCCUCUUCCCCCUCCUCCUCCCCCUCCUCCCCUUCCCCUCUCCCCUCCCCCUCCUCCCCCUCCUCUUCUCCCUCCUCCCCUUCCCCUCUCCCCCUCCUCCUCCUCCCCCUCCCCCUCCUCCCCCUCCUCCUCUUCUCCCUCCUCCCCCUUCUCCUCUCCCUCCUCCCCCUCCCCCUCCUCCCCCUCCUCCCCCUCCUCCCCCUCCUCCCCCUCCUCCCCCUCCUCCCCCUCCUCCCCCUCCCCCUCCUCCCCAUCCUCCCCCUCCUCUUCUCCCUCCUCCCCCUCCUCCCCCUCCUCCUCCCCCUCCUCUCCCCCUCCUCCUCCUCUUCCCCCUCCUUCCCUUCCCCUCCCCCUCCUCCCCCUCCCCCUCCUCCUCCCCCUUCUUCUUCUUUUUAGUGCACCAACACCAGUAUCUUCAAACCGGUCUGAAAUGCAAGACCUUGUAUUCCC
rnacentral:lncRNA from 1 species